rnacentral:tRNA from 1 species
GCCGGGGUGAUGGAAUGGUAGACAGCGGGGACUUAAAAUCCCCUGGCAGAAAUGCCGUGCGGGUUCGAGUCCCGCCCCCGGUACCA